CAAUAGCGUAUAUUAAAGUUGUUGCAGUUAAAAAGCUCGUAGUUGGAUUUCUGGUUGAAGCGACCGGUCGGGCGUUGAUUCGUCUGCACUGGAGUCGGUUUUGGCCAUCCUCUAGGAGAGUGCGUCUGGUAUUAAGUUAUCGGGCGUAUGAUCCUGGUCUUUUACUGUGAAAAAAUUAGAGUGUUUAAAGCAGGCCUUCGCCUUGAAUACAUUAGCAUGGAAUAAUAAGAUAGGACUUUGGUCUAUUUUGUUGGUUUGCAGACCGAAGUAAUGAUUAAUAGGGAUAGUUGGGGGUAUUUAUAUUCCGAUGUCAGAGGUGAAAUUCUUAGAUUUUCGGAAGAUAAACUUAUGCGAAAGCAUUUACCAAGGAUGUUUUCAUUAA
rnacentral:rRNA from 1 species